rnacentral:rRNA from 1 species
GAUGAACGCUGGCGGCGUGCCUAAUACAUGCAAGUCGAGCGAACGGACGAGAAGCUUGCUUCUCUGAUGUUAGCGGCGGACGGGUGAGUAACACGUGGAUAACCUACCUAUAAGACUGGGAUAACUUCGGGAAACCGUAGCUAAUACCGGAUAAUAUUUUGAACCGCAUGGUUCAAUAGUGAAAGACGGUUUUGCUGUCACUUAUAGAUGGAUCCGCGCUGCAUUAGCUAGUUGGUAAGGUAACGGCUUACCAAGGCAACGAUGCAUAGCCGACCUGAGAGGGUGAUCGGCCACACUGGAACUGAGACACGGUCCAGACUCCUACGGGAGGCAGCAGUAGGGAAUCUUCCGCAAUGGGCGAAAGCCUGACGGAGCAACGCCGCGUGAGUGAUGAAGGUCUUCGGAUCGUAAAACUCUGUUAUUAGGGAAGAACAAAUGUGUAAGUAACUGUGCACAUCUUGACGGUACCUAAUCAGAAAGCCACGGCUAACUACGUG